GUUUUUCAUUACAGAAGUUUGGGAUGUAUAACAAACUUCAUACGUUUUUAUAAAUAUUUUGGAUCUCAAGGAGGGCAAAUACACCCUGGGAGACAUUUUGUUUAGCUGAAAAGCAAGUCUUCCAUAAACCACAGGGAUCUUUGCCCAUUAUGAGGGAUGGAGGUGUGAGCCAGAAAUCUCCCCGAGCUGCCCUGCUCUUCGGGGUUGUGUUUUGUGUGCUGAGCUGGGCAUUUUUCCUUGCUCUCUGCAAUAUCCCAGGCAAGUGCAAAUCUCCCCCUCAAAGCUGAAAACGUUGUGGAUGUACCUUUAUCUGCCACACAGUCAGGUUUUAUUCUUUAUUCAUUUCUCUUGGGAAGGACAGGCUGGCCAGCUGGUCCUGGGUAAGAUCAAACUUUUAUGUAAAAUGAUGUUUUCUCAGGGAAUAAAAGAUGAAGGAGAGUGAAAGGAAAAGGUGCAGACACAGAGACCACAAGCUGGGCAGACCCUGCACUGGCGGAUGUGCACGAGAACCAAAGCCACCUCAGCAGGGCUGGGGAUGUGCCUCUACAAGUCACUGCCAGCACCAUGGGAGCAUCCCUUGAUGCAGGAGCAUCCUUGAUGCUGGCAAUGCGGGACCAUCCUUCCAAUUCCUCCUGACAUUUUCUCUUAGGCUUUUGCAGGAUUUUCAUUGUGACAUUGAAUGUGCCAAAAAGAAAUGUGCCAAAGGAACCCUGACCAAGCUGGGUAGUCUCCACAGCCACUCCAUUUUGCACUGCUGUGCCAGUGAGCACCAGUCUGAGCAAACUCCCCAUGUCCCAAAAUAACAAUGCUGCUGCCAAGGUGGCCAACACUGAGGACCUGUCCAGGGUGCAGUGGGAUGUGGGAGGGAUGUUCAAGGGUGCAGAGGAUCUCACCUGCAGUCUGUGCAAGUGGGGAGGCAACUGCUGCCAUCCGCUACAGCAGCUCCCUGCUGCUGGCCAUCAUGGCACAGGGCUCUGAACCAGGCAAAAACCAAUCUCUAAAACAAGUCACCUGAGGAGAGUAAAACCUGAGCCUUAAAGAGGAGGCUGAGCUGGAAAAAGUGCAAUUCAUACGUGGACUAAGCAUCAUCAGAUGCAUCUAUGGACUAAGCACCAUUAGAUGCGGGUGAGAAGCAAAGGCAUUAAAAAGGAGGUUAAACAUAGGUCUUUAAGGGUGGGUUUCCAUCACUAGACAGACGUGAGCCCGCUAGUGCUGUGAGAUACCCCACAGGAGCUUUUAGCAGAGAGCUGGCAAGGGAAGCAGUGAGCCGCAGCCAGUGUAAUUCCCCUUGUAAAUCUGCCUCUGUGUUGGAAAGAGUAAGGCUGGAAAUAGCCAGCUGGAAAAAAUCCCCAGAGCACUGAGUAAAAGCUCACCAUGCAAUUAGCGUCACUCAUACACAUCACCCACACUGACACAGCCCAGUCUGGGUGCAUGGCACUGCCUCGGGGUGAAAUAGGCUGCUGCCAUCACUGCCCUUUGACAGAGGGGAAACUGAGGCACGGCCGCUGGCUCACCUUGGUCCAAAGUCAGGAAUUUGCUUUUCUUAAUAAUUUCCUAAUUGGCCUGAUGGGAGAACAUGUGUACAGGAUUUGGGGAAUACAGACCACAGUCCUGCUCUCUGCUUCUUGCUGGAAACAGCCCUUUUUACAUCAGCAAUGUGACAUCAGCAUAGGGAGAAUGGCUUUUAGCACAGGCUGGGCCAUCAAAUUUAAAAGGAAUAUAACAAUAAACAGUAAAGGAAAGUUGGCUGUUUAAAAGACUGAAGCCAGCUUUGAAAUAAUUUUCUAAAAAAAGAGACGUCCACACUCCAUAAAUUAAGAACUGGAAGACUGUAUGACAAUAACAGCAUCAAGAAUAUAAUUUAGUCCAUUUUCCUCACAUGGUUUCCAGACUAAUGGCUGAGGCAGGACACCAGUAAAGAGAUCCCUAAAUUCAGCUUUCAUUUCUACCUCUGAACUGGCACAUAACACCACAGGAGCCCUGUAGAAAGGCCUAACCUCCAGAAAAGCUCAAUGCAAAAGUCCAUCUGCCCUUGGAAAAAACAGCUAACUCCAUCCGAGCCUCUGCGUUGUCACAGGAGACAUCUCCCAGUCGUCAGCAGAGACAACUGAGACAUGAAAACCUUUCUUCACCUGCCAAACAUUGCAAACAGAAUUACCUUUUGAUGCAAGCAUUUCUACUGAGGCCUUGGGGUGUGGGGUUUUUUUUUUGACUCGUAAGAUCUUCCGGAGAGCAAUGCCAGCGGAAAAAUAGCCGCUCAAAAUGAAACUGAAAGUUGUUCUGUUUCCCUUCCUUUGUAUAAGCUUUGCAAAUUAUUGCUAAAUCUUCACAUCCUCAGCUUCUUUGAAUGUCACUAGUGCUGGGAAAGGCUUCUCUUAGCCUGUGUUUUGCCACUGACGUGGUUUAGCCUAGUAAUGUCAUACCCAUCACACCUUAAUUCUGACCAAGCCUGUGGAGAUGGCAAUGAAGCUGCCACCAUGAAAGAUGAGAGCAGCCUCACAAAGAAAAAAAAACUUCCAGCCAGCCCUAAUUAAGUUCUGCUUUGUCCUGAUGAAGCACAUUUCUAGAGCUGGAUUUUCAAAGCCCUUACGUCUGCUGCAGCAUCCCUCCCCAAAUGGCUGGAAGACACCCUCAGAGGGCUGGCUAGCACCGAUCACCUUUGGAAGCCCUCACAGGCAAGGAGACUGCGUGCAAAGGAGGACUGUGAGAGCUGACACCAUGCCUCUGACCACCUGCCCCCAGGAAAGCCGCCAAGAGCUUGGCUGAAGAAAACGUUUCCUUUCAGUUUGAGAAAACAAGGGAUUUAGACUCUGUGUUCAAUAGGAGUGAGAAGCCCUCACCUCACACCUAAAUCCAGCAGCUUCUUCAUCAGGGAAGAGAGAGGAAACGUAGUCCCAUGGUGAGUCCUUAACAGGGCUGACACACCAGCUCCUUUUGGGGAUGGAUGGAUGGACCUUAACCAUCUACUAUGCAUCCUCCUGCUAGUUUUGGUUCUCCCUGCAAAUGUGGGCAACUGGCCGUACCCAUGUAGUGCUCAAGUCCUGGUAAGGAAUGCCCUUUGGGAUGCAAUGUCCUGGGCAUCCCCUUUUUGCACCAGGACCUGUCCUGUUGCUUACUGGCACUAAGGGACAACGUCUCCCCUCCUCUAGCUCAUCGGUACCACCUAAGACCACAUUAAACACCAACCACACACAGGUGUAAAACCUCAGAAAGAAGACAGCUGAGUAUAAAACUGGAAAUACAAUUACAAAAACACCUUCACAAUCAUAUGCAAAAAAAACCCCAAAACAUCAGCACAUACCUGAAGCCUUUCUCUGCUUCCAGCUGUCUCCUAAGGUUCCCUGUCCCUAAGCGCUGCCUACCUGAACUGCCCCCAUCCCUGGGUUUCUGUUCACUGCUUCUCAGCACUUAUUGAACAUAAAUAAAGCCUGGAGCCUCCUCCUGCUGUUUCCCUUCUAGUGCAGGGCCUUGCCUGUCCUGGAAAGACAAACAGAGCCCCUUUUUGUGUGCCCAGCUCUCUUCAGAGCUGA